CACUCGCAAUCGCAAGAGAGCAAGUGAGUGGAUUAUAUCGUUGGACUACGGAGAUGGUGCUCUUCCUCCUCGAUACAUACGCAGAGAGAGA
rnacentral:lncRNA from 1 species